rnacentral:rRNA from 1 species
GCGGCGGAGGGGUGAGUAACACGUGGGCAACCUGCCCUGCGAACUGGGAUAACUUCGGGAAACCGGAGCUAAUACCGGAUGACACCGAAAACCGCAUGGUUUUCGGUUGAAAGGCGGCUUUUAGCUGUCACUGCAGGAUGGGCCCGCGGCGCAUUAGCUAGUUGGUGAGGUAACGGCUCACCAAGGCGACGAUGCGUAGCCGACCUGAGAGGGUGACCGGCCACACUGGGACUGAGACACGGCCCAGACUACUACGGGAGGCAGCAGUAGGGAAUCUUCCGCAAUGGACGAAAGUCUGACGGAGCAACGCCGCGUGAGCGAAGAAGGUCUUCGGAUCGUAAAGCUCUGUUGUCAGGGAAGAACAAGUGCCGUUCGAACAGGGCGGUACCUUGACGGUACCUGACGAGGAAGCCACGGCUAACUACGUGCCAGCAGCCGCGGUAAUAC